rfam:Aedes albopictus isolate Foshan contig213914, whole genome shotgun sequence.
CAAAAGGCCCUUUUCAGGGCCACUAUAUCAUUCUCGAAAAGAGUUA